rnacentral:sRNA from 1 species
AUUUUCUUUCUAAUUAUCAAAAACAAACAUUAAAAUCCAGUGGCAGCUAUUGUAAAUAAGUUUCAACUACAAGAUUUAUUUCACAAAAUGGUUGCAAAAACGUAUAUGUAGAUUUUAAAAAAUAGUUAGGAUAACUGAUAACUCCCUUAAAUGUUUAUUUCUCAAAUAACCUUGCUAAUAAGUGUUUUACAAAAAGAAAAACUAAUGACAAUGUCUUUGGUUCAAAUCCAUAAUGGCCCAGCUGCUUUCAAGCACCCUUCACUAUUUUGGAUAGUAUUUAUGGUUCUACCUAUUUCUUAGAAUCAAGCGAGCCUAUUUCCCUUCUCGUGCUUUACGCAACACUCCAACGACCGGAUGCCUCGUCACUAAUCUCGCAAGAUCCACAUCAUCAACAUUGUGAUCAAUAAUUAAGAAACGAUCAAUUGUCUCAGUCGUGGACUAGAAUAGAAAAGAAGAAAAAAAACACUAUUAAAAAUAAACGAAAACACACUCUAUUGAAAACCCAACCCCAUAAACAAAGGCCAAUAAUAAUAUUUUCCUUAAAACAUGAUUCAUAUAUGAUAAAUGAGAUUCAUAAGUUAGUAGUAAGAAAAUGCACCUUCUCAAAGAUACCAUGUUUCUCCACAAAAUCUCUAGGAGUUCUACAAUCUUUCAAGCCAUGUUUUCCGAGAUGUAUGAUGUUGACGAAAUGCUGAUUCGAAAACGAACGUUGGUGUUCAAGUCUUAUUCCAAUAUUAAAAAAGGCUUCCAUAGCUCGUGUAAAUGCAGUCAGCCAGCAAAUCACUACAACAUAAAUCAAUUUUGUGUAAGUGGCAACCACAGAAAUUCAGAAUCCUUUUACAAAUUUCAAAAAUUGGCCUUUUUCAUUCUAAAAAACAAAAUGAGCGCUUUUCGUACUAAAAUUUUU